AUAUUAAUAAGCGGAGGAAAAGAAACCAACAGGGAUUGCCCUAGUAACGGCGAGUGAAGCGGCAACAGCUCAAAUUUGAAAUCUGGCUCCGGCCCGAGUUGUAAUUUGCAGAGGAAGCUUCUGGCGCGGCACCUUCCGAGUCCCCUGGAACGGGGCGCCACAGAGGGUGAGAGCCCCGUAUGGUUGGACGCCUAGCCUGUGUGAAGCUCCUUCGACGAGUCGAGUAGUUUGGGAAUGCUGCUCAAAAUGGGAGGUAAAUUUCUCCUAAAGCUAAAUACCGGCCAGAGACCGAUAGCGCACAAGUAGAGUGAUCGAAAGAUGAAAAGCACUUUGAAAAGAGGGUUAAACAGCACGUGAAAUUGUUGAAAGGGAAGCGCCUGUGACCAGACUUGCGCCGGGCUGAUCAUCCGGUGUUCUCACCGGUGCACUCGGCCCGGCUCAGGCCAGCAUCGGUUCUCGCGGGGGGAUAAAGGCCCUGGGAACGUAGCUCCUCCGGGAGUGUUAUAGCCUGGGGCGUAAUGCCCUUGCGGGGACCGAGGUUCGCGCUCCGCAAGGAUGCUGGCGUAAUGGUCACCAGCGA
rnacentral:rRNA from 1 species